GAUGAACGCUGACAGAAUGCUUAACACAUGCAAGUCUACUUGAAUUUGGGUCUUUGACUUAGAUUUGGGUGGCGGACGGGUGAGUAACGCGUAAAGAACUUGCCUCACAGUUAGGGACAACAUUUGGAAACGAAUGCUAAUACCUGAUAUUAUGAUUUUAGGGCAUCCUAAGAUUAUGAAAGCUAUAUGCACUGUGAGAGAGCUUUGCGUCCCAUUAGCUAGUUGGAGAGGUAACGGCUCACCAAGGCGAUGAUGGGUAGCCGGCCUGAGAGGGUGAACGGCCACAAGGGGACUGAGACACGGCCCUUACCCCUACGGGAGGCAGCAGUGGGGAAUAUUGGACAAUGGACCAAAAGUCUGAUCCAGCAAUUCUGUGUGCACGAUGACGUUUUUCGGAAUGUAAAGUGCUUUCAGUUGGGAAGAAAAAAAUGACGGUACCAACAGAAGAAGUGACGGCUAAAUACGUGCCAGCAGCCGCGGUAAUACGUAUGUCACAAGCGUUAUCCGGAUUUAUUGGGCGUAAAGCGCGUCUAGGUGGUUAUGUAAGUCUGAUGUGAAAAUGCAGGGCUCAACUCUGUAUUGCGUUGGAAACUGUGUAACUAGAGUACUGGAGAGGUAAGCGGAACUACAAGCGUAGAGGUGAAAUUCGUAGAUAUUUGUAGGAAUGCCGAUGGGGAAGCCAGCUUACUGGACAGAUACUGACGCUAAAGCGCGAAAGCGUGGGUAGCAAACAGG
rnacentral:rRNA from 1 species